rnacentral:rRNA from 1 species
CCGCGGUAAUACGUAGGGUGCGAGCGUUAAUCGGAAUUACUGGGCGUAAAGCGCACGCAGGCGGUCUGUCAAGUCUGACGUGAAAGCUCCUGGCUUAACUGGGAGAGGUCGUUGGAAACUGAUGGGCUUGAGGCAAUGAGAGGGGUGUAGAAUUCCCGGUGUAGUGGUGGAAUGCGUAGAGAUCGGGAGGAAUACCAGUGGCGAAGGCGGCACCCUGGCAUUGGCCUGACGCUGAGGUGCGAGAGCGUGGGGAGCGAACGGG